AUUGCCAAAGUGAAGCAGAGAAACGUUUCGUUGCUUGUACUGUUAUUGCAAUUCUGAUUUCCAAAGAUGAACUCGAGAGCCUUGCUUAUCCUGCUGUGUGUGUUCUCGCUGAUGAUUGCAGACUAUUCUGUCCAAGGCGCAAGAUCUUGUGAGACAUACAGUGUUUGCUCAUGGUGCGGAUCGAGCUGCACGAGGAGGGGAUACACGUCUGGAAAAUGCAGAUAUUCAUCUUUGUGCCCAAGAGGAAGGAAAUUCUAUUGCAGAUGUUCUUGGAGAAAUGGUUGAUGUAGAAAGAAGCUUUAAUCAAUUCAAACAAUAAAAUGAAAGGAAUGCAGAUAUUGAGAGAAGUAACUGAUUGUUAUGAUAUACAUGGGCGGAUCGAAAUAUGCUAUGACAUAGGAAAUACGCUAAAGAGAAUAUUCAAUAAAGACCGCCAAUUUAAAGUGAAUUUUUGAAAUAGAGUUGUUUGAUAAAUUGAUUGAUUGAUUGUGUCUUGCUUAACGUCUCGCUCGAGAAUUUUCACUCAUAUGGAGACGUUAGAUGUUUGAUAAAAGACAGGUAAACAUAUUUUAUCACUA